rnacentral:rRNA from 1 species
GAUGAACGCUGGCGGCGUGCCUAAUACAUGCAAGUCGAGCGAACGGACGAGAAGCUUGCUUCUCUGAUGUUAGCGGCGGACGGGGGAGUAACACGUGGAUAACCUACCUAUAAGACUGGGAUAACUUCGGGAAACCGGAGCUAAUACCGGAUAAUAGUUUGAACCGCAUGGUGCAAAAGUUAAAGACGGUCUUUCUGUCACUUAUAGAUGGAUCCGCGCUGCAUUAGCUAGUUGGUAAGGGAACGGCUUACCAAGGCAACGAUGCAUAGCCGACCUGAGAGGGUGAUCGGCCACACUGGAACUGAGACACGGUCCAGACUCCUACGGGAGGCAGCAGUAGGGAAUCUUCCGCAAUGGGCGAAAGCCUGACGGAGCAACGCCGCGUGAGUGAUGAAGGUCUUCGGAUCGUAAAACUCUGUUAUUAGGGAAGAACAUAUGUGUAAGUAACUGUGCACAUCUUGACGGUACCUAAUCAGAAAGCCACGGCUAACUACGUG